rnacentral:tRNA from 1 species
GGGGUUGUAGCUCAGUGGUAGAGUGCUUACCUCACACGUGUUAGGCACUGGCUUCAGUUCUCCGCACCACAUAAAAAUAGACAUUGUGACAAUCUACAACUAAUAUAUAUAUAUAUAUAUAUAUAUAUAUAUAUAUAUAUAUAUUAAAAAAAGAAAAAAAAAAGGUGCACACGGAAUGCCCUUCAUUUUAGGGCUGGGGCUGAAGCUCAGUGACAGAGCGUUUCUCUAGCAUGCAUGAGGCACUGGGUUCAAUCCUCAGCACCACA